rnacentral:rRNA from 1 species
AUGGCUGCACCUACUCCGGCCUUGCCGGACUCCUCCAACUCCACGCCCGCGCUCGUCUUUAAACGACUCACGCCCGCCGAGAUGGAUGAACGGCGCGCUAAGGGUCUCUGCUUCAAUUGUGACGAGAAGUUCGCGCGGGGCCAUCGCUGCAAACGGCUGUUCUAUAUUCAAUCCGCCGACGCCGAAGAGGAGCAGUUUGAGGAUUUCCAGGAAGCACAAAUCUCACUCUUGGUUGUUACCGGAAUUCCCACCAGCGACACAAUGCAGGUCACUCUUCGCAUCGGGGACCGUGACUUGGUCGCCUUGCUUGAUUCAGGCAGCGCUCAUAACUUCAUCCACGAAGAGUUGGCCACCAUCGUCAGGCUGCCUUUCUCCUCCAAUCGUCGUUUGGGAGUCACGGUCGCUAAUGGCGAUAAGGUGACCUGUCGGGGACUCCUUCAGCAGGCUGCGAUCACCAUUGACAAGGAGCGUUUCGUUGUUGAUCUACAUGCCAUUCCAUUGGGCGGGUUCGACAUCGUCUUCGGUACAUGA